rnacentral:lncRNA from 1 species
ACUGUAUAUCCUCAUUCAUAUGUCUUCAAUUCAUUACCAAUAAGCAAACCAUAAAUUAGAAUCUGCACAUUUAGAUUAGAUAGUUAAGCAAGUCUACAUUCUUUUUUUGCUGCAAUAACUUAGAAGUUAACAGAGGAAAGGAAUAAAAAGAGCGAUUUUUUGUUGUUGUCGUUAUCACAAACAAACACAAGAAUCGGACACAUGCAAAAAAACUCAAAGCAUGGCUGAAUGAGGAUUAAUCUCAGCUUCUGGGUUUUAAGACAAGGCAAGCAUCUGAAUCUUCCCAAGCUCUCAACUGCACAACACGGUUACAAUGGUACUGUAAGGGAAGGAGUCAAACGAAAGAUAUCAAAAUCCAAAGUAUGCAGAAAGUGAGAGCUAUGCAAUGAUUAGAGACUUUAACAUUAGUAAUCUGCAUGUUUAAUGUAAUGUGAUUAGCUUAUGAACAUCUCAAUAACAUUUAAUCAAAUCCUAAAGUCCCUAGAUGAUUGAUUUAAACAAUGUACUAAAUACUAACCCUUGGUUAUCAAUAUUCCCAUGGCCGCCUCUACUCCCUCCACUUCCAUAAACACGUCAUCACCUCCCCCUGAACUCUGCCAAACGCCCUGCCACGCAUGAAAAGGAGCCUCCCGAUUAGCAGCAGGCUGACCCAUGGGCGGGUUAUUUAUUUACUCCCUCCGUUUUUUUAUAUAAAUCGUUUUAUAGCUAUGCACAUAGAUUAAGAAAACCAUUAAUUUUUUAUAUUUUCUAAACAAAAACAUCAUUAAUUAUUUACCUAACCACAAUUCAACCAAUAGAAAAAUAAAAGAUAUAUUACCAUUGGUCAUACAACAUUAAUUACUAAUAAAUUUUACAUAGAAAACCGAAAACGACAUAUAAUUUGGAACAAAAAAAAUUUUCUACAACGACUUAUAUUAAAAAACGGAGGGAGUAUUUAUUUUUUUGAUCAAAUUUGUUAUUUAUUUUAUUAAUUUAUUUUUAUACUAUAAUUUGACAAAACGAUGCCGUAUUUUGAAGCGUUCACUGUGCUGGUCGCUGGAGAAGAAAUAUAAAUCCGAGUAUUGUGAAUACGACGACGAUGACGACGCAGGAGCUGGCGAUGGAAGGGGAGAAGCAUUUGGAAGAAACUAUCGUGUCUGCUUUUCAGAUCAUUUCCGCUAUGGAUGAUGAGCUUUGCAAUCCUUCUUUGUGGUCUACACCAGCCACCGCGAGUUCUAACGGUACGGCUAUCGUUCCCGCCGACGCGGCUGCGAUUGACGGAGCACCGCAUCAUUCGGAGUCUGGUGGCGGGGGGAGUGGGAAUAGUGCUCUGGAUGAAGCUAGUGUUCGGUAUAAGAACUCCGUGACUUCUCUUCGUGCUGUUCUUGUUGCGAUUCCUAAUUCGAAGAAGGUAAUGAACAUAAUGGUGUUACUUACCAUUAGGUUUAGGUGAAGGAUCUAUAAUGUACGUUCAUCUGUAACAGGCAAAAGCAUCUGUAAUGGAAAACGGUUUAGAAACUCCUGAAAGUGUAGAAGAAAUCGAAAAGUUAGAGGAGCAAGCCAUAAGUCUCAGACAGGUAAACAUUAGCUUAAGCUGUUCUAGAACCAUGAGAACUAUGUUGAGUAGACUCGUUCGCUGAUCUGUAAACGUUGGUAAAUGCAGGAGAUUGCAAAGAAGAAUGUUCAUGUAAAAGAACUUAUCGACAAGUUUCGAGAACUUAUAGCAGAUAUCUCCACAUGGCAAAGCCCUUGUUAUGUUUGAGUUUUUUUUUCUCUUAUUUGACAAUGGUGUGAUCAGUUAAGACAAGGUGCUAAGCCUUUGUUCUUGAACUCCUCACUUGAAACAUGAAUUUGUAUAUAUAAAUAUUUCAGACAAAAUCUUCAAACCUCUUGUGUUUUCAGUUGCAUCACACUUUUUUUGUUUGUUUGUAUCGAUCUGUAAGAGAACUUGAUUGUCUCUGUGAGGAGUCACUGUCCGGCUCUCUUGAGAUAAGCCAUAAAACCAAGACCAGCUACUAAUGCUGCACCAGCCGCUACUCCACUGUAAGUAGCACCCCAACCGUCUCUCUCCACAUACUCCAUUGCUUCUGCUGACACUAUCGCUCUUCUUCUUCGUCCUUUGCCUUUUCUUGAAUCAUCUAAAUGUAAUCUCAGACUCUGCAAUUUUAUAAUAAUCCAAUCAAUUCAGAUAGCAAACAUCUCGUUAAGAUCUUCAUCUGUAACUACUUUUACCUUCCAGCCGAUUGAUUUUGCAUGGUCUAUGGCUGCUUGAAGGUCACUAUCUGAAGCCAACAACACUUUAUCGUGGUCUUCGUCUUCAUACUGCAGAUUACAACCACCAUUAUAACAUUUCGGAAAAAGAUUUGCAUCGUUAUUUUGUAAAAAAGGUUAUAUACGUACAAAAAUUUGGGGUAUGUUGUGGUCUGGAUCGAUAUCAUCCCCUAGUCUUUGAAGUAUCGCGGUUACCACUUCUGUCAAACUACGAGUGUCUGUAAUUCAAGAACCAAUCCAUGUGAGUACACACAAUAUUAAAACUGUUUGAUGAACAAAGACAAAGAUUUUGCUUUACCACUUAUGAAUCUGUGCAUUCUGUGCUUCUUGUCUUCGAUCUUGAAAGAAAAUGUAUUUGGCAAAGGUAAGGAUUUUCCUGUCUCAGCUUCAGAAGCAACUUUCAAAGAGCUUUCACUGAAAACAGUUGUUUUCCUAAGUCAGUUAAAACUAAGCUCAAUUCGGAAAGAAACAAGUAUAGCGGUUUAAGCGAGGUAGGCUAGUGACCUUCUCGUGUCCUCGUCUUCCUCAUUAGGAGACAAUGCCAUUGCUGAAUCCCAAAACUUUUGCAUCAUUGUGUUUGUUGCGUCGUUACCUAUUCCCGCAGUAGUUCCAGCCUGAUCGCAUAAAAAAUGAGAUCAGUGGAUUUGUCAUAAUCAAAACACUUUACAGAAGUUUCUAGAUAGGAUACUUACUGUGGCGACAGCAGCGUGAGUUACAUGGAUUACAUCGACAACUGCAACUACAUCUCCUUCUGCAAUCAGAAAGCCCUUUUGUUAUUUACAUACGUUUUGCCUAUUUAGUUGACUUGCAAUCCAAAAUGCAACAGAACAUUUUACCUUUGUCCGUAACAGGAAGGUGUAGAAAUUUCCCCUCGUGCAUGAUGUGCAGAGCUUCAACGAUUGGUGUGUCGGCUGACGCAGAUUCUGGAUUCUGAGUCAUAACCUACGAAUGAGAACAAACGAUUAAACUCGACUGAAAACAGGAAUCUAAAACAGUCGACUAUUUAGUCCAAAACUUAAGAACUGGAAACAUGAAGAGGAGACUAAUCUCUAAAUCCUCUUGACCAAAAAAGAAGAAGAAAAGAAUAUCGUAAAUCAUACUUGUUCCAUUGUGGUCUCAGAUGGAGGAAGAUUUUCAGCCACAACCCUCAUCAGUAUAUCCUUGGAACUAGAUAACAGACAAAACAAACUUUUAGACGUUAGUAUAAGUACAAGGAGGAAGACAAAUGACUUCAGUCACAGCAUAAUCAAUAAUCCAAAUGAAUACAUAAUUAACCAGAACUGAUGGGUAUCAGGCAGUUUAGUUUGGUUGAGCUGGGAUUCACUCGAAUAAAUCCAGCUUUUCUAGUUUUCUAUAUCGUUCUUUGAAGGAUGACAUGAGAUUUUCAUUUAGCUAGCUUAUAUCAUAGUAUCUGAAGGGGAAGUUGGUAGAACCACUUGAGCUGAGAAAGAGAUAAAAUGUUAGGCACUUUCAGAAAAGAGAACUCACGUAAAUAUCCCUCCAAGCUUGUCCUCGAUCAUCACGACUGCACAGCUUGAUUGAAGUUCAACCAUCUUCUUUGCGACAGUCAACACUGUAUCGGCUGGUGACACUUUCAAAACCCUGAACAAACACCAGCGAUGGGUAAGAAAAGAACACUCAAGAUUGUUGUAAUGAGAACUUAAUUAGAAAAAGAAGAGAUUACCUACUUUGAAUCAUCCGGUAUAAUUGUUGAUAAAGAAGGUCUAAACAUCCGGUCUCGUAGCGUUUCAAUGAAAGUGUUGUGAACUACAUUAACAAAAAAUCAAGAUAAUGAAAAUCUAAAAAUCUGAUAAGAUAAUAAUCCAAGAGAAAAUGAGAAUUGAACUGGGAAAGGUUCAGUUCCCUCACUCACCUGAAGUGUUUGUUCCCCAACUUCUUUCAACACCUUCUACAGCAGCAGCUAUAGCCUUACCCUUCUCAGCUGCCCUCUCCAUACGAGCAAUCGCAUCAUACAGACACUUUGCUAUAUCUAGCAGAGCAAUCACUUCUCCAUUUUCAACAACAGGCAGAUGUCUGAAUUUUCCUGCAGGAUCAAUACGCAAGGAUUAGAAAAAUAGAACAUUAGGCUCUUCUAACUUAAAGCAAACACACAAACCUAGGACCAUCUUCUGAAGAGCGUCAACAGCAAGUGUCUCAGAAAGAACAAACAACGGGUUCCUAGUCAUAACCUUGGACACAGGUGUUUCCUCCACAUUAACUUCCUGCGAUAUCACCCUUGUGGCUAUGUCCUGCAAACGUGAAGUAUCUUUAGCUUUUAUCUGUAACUUGCUUAGAUCAAUGAUAGUGUGAGAUUAUUACCCUGUCAGUAAGAAUCCCACAAAGCAUUUCAUUAGAAUCAGUCAACAACAAGGCAUCAACUUUCCGCGAAGCCAUGUUUUUACAAGCAUCAUAGAUACUAGUCGUUGCUGGAACUGUAAUGGCUUUCGAUAGCCUUAAACGCUUAACAGUUCGCUCUCCUCCCGUUAAACCCCUGCUUCCAAAAAAUCCAAAUUAAUGAUUAAAGUUAAAUCUAAUUUUUACUUAGCUUCUAAAGGAAUCAACAUUACAACGGAGAACGCGAAACGGUUAGAGAUCUCCGGCCAGUGUCGAGGCCUCGUUCGCCGAGUUCCAUGGAUUUCUUCUUCCCGUGCAAAGACGAAGUCGUUACGGAUAAGCUCCGUCUUGAAGACCCGCCUUGGCUAGCCAUUUCGUUCUACUGUAGGAUUAGUAAAAUCGAUUUUGAUUAGAGCAAACAGUGAGAAUCGCAGAGGGAAUCAGAGGUGUGUUUGGAUUCGUCGGGGUCAACUUAUCGAGAGAAGGUAAUGGUAGUUUGGGAUUAGUAGUUAUCCGUGGCAGGAUGACUCUUUCUCGAUUGUUCGUGAGGAGGAUGAUGGCAAGAGAGAAACGACGAAUCCUUCCGAGAAAGUGACGGGAAAAUGAGAGAAAGGUUUUGUGAUUUUUUUUUUUUUUUUUUUUCGUCUCUCUCUCCCUCUCUCUCUUCUCUCAAUCGGAUGGAUUCUUUGACUCCGAUGCUUUUGCUUGCAACUUGGCCGUGGCUCGUUUUUUUAUUUUGGACAGUGUUUAUUGAUUUAUUGGUAAUUUACAAUUGUAUCCUCGAGAAAUGCGAUUGAUAACUGUAUCAGAGAUUUGUUUCCCAUUAUGCGGAGGGGUUUAUUGUCAUUGUUUAUUUAUGGUCACUAUUACACACGAGUUGAUACUUUCUGGAUUUCGUUUCAUUUUUUUUUAUUUCGUUGUUGGAUUUUGUCAUUACUCUUUUAUUUAUUUGUUUUAGGCUUUUAGCAAUUUGUGAUUAGGAAUUUAAAGCUGUUUUUAAUAAAUUAAAACAAGUAAAUUUAUUAGGAGUUCAAAAAACUAUGUUCUAUCUGGAUAAACUUCUAGAUAAAGAAAAAAAUAAAAUGAUAAUGAAACUUCUGCUAAAUUUUAAAUAAUGUAUUAAUGGUUCAUGGAUUUGUUCCAUCGAUGGUUUGCAAUCUGUGUGAAAUAAAGGACUAAAAACUGUGCGAAUAAAAAAAAAUGAUUUACAGAAAUUUUAAUUUUGUAUUUUUGAAGAAAAAAAAAGUGCUUCAGAAUGAGCAAAGCCAAGGGUGUAUAAAACGACGCCGUCUCAAUUACUAUUGGGCUUCGCAAGGAUCAAAGCCACUAACCCGUCUCUGCUACAAUUAGGUCCAUUAAGGCCCAAUUUAAAUUUUCUUCAUUUUCAUCUGAAUCUCUCGACGGCCACUCUCUCUCUCAAGCUUCGCAAAUCCGUGAAGAAUCCAAAAGUCCACACCAAUGGCGACUUCAAUAUCUCGAUCCUCUCGGAGAGGAGUAGCUUCCACCCUGAUCCGUCGCUGCUUCGCUGCGGAAGCGGCACUCGCGGCGCGUACGGAGCCACCGAAGCCUAAACUAACGGUGUCGCCGUCUCCGGAUCGUGUGAAGUGGGACUACAGGGGACAGAGACAGAUCAUUCCCUUGGGACAGUGGCUCCCCAAGGUAGCCGUUGACGCCUACGUGGCACCCAACGUCGUGUUGGCAGGUCAGGUCACGGUCUGGGACGGCUCCUCCGUCUGGAACGGCGCCGUUUUGCGCGGCGAUCUCAACAAAAUCACGCUCGGGUUCUGCUCGAAUGUUCAGGAACGGUGCGUUGUCCAUGCCGCGUGGUCGUCCCCAACAGGUUGUUGUUGUUGUUUCCUCCAUUUUCGGACAUCUUGAUGAUUAUCUAAUGUCUGGUUUUGUUGCUGGUAGUGGAAUCAAGAUAAUGUUAUAUAGGAGGGACUUAGUGGUUUAGAUUCGUUGAGGUUGUGUAUGUGAUAGGAAUCUGGAAUCUUACUGAGGAGGUGUGCUUGAGCUUAGUAUUGAGAGUUUGAGUAGAUUAGUGCACAUGGUGGAUCAUCUUGGGUAGCAGUAGGAAACAAUGAGUUAUAUAUCAUUCAACAUACCAAGAGUACACUCAAUCAUGUUUCAGUCUUAUUGAUAAAAUCAAUGUUCAAAAAAUUGCUAGACAGUCAGUAAGCGAUUUUAUUUUCGGAAAAUUGAUUCGCUUAUGAUUGAUUUGCCGCUUAGGCGAGAACCUUGCCGCCACGUAUACAAAUUUUUAGAACACUGGAUAAAACUAUACAAGCAUGGGCAAAAUAUCUAAAACCUAAAGUCCAAACCCGAACAGAAGAAACAUAAUGUAUAUAAGGUAUGAGAUGUAAAAAUACCCGAAUAAAUACUGUAGGGUUGUAUACAAUAUAUAUGAACCCGAAAUGUUAUCAACCGAAUUUGACAGUAACCAAAAGACUAAAAAUCCGGAAAAAAUGGAAAAAACCCCAAGCCAAAGAUCCAAAAUACAUAUUUGAAACGUGCAUAAUUACCUUAAACACUCAAUUUCUUGUUCAACUAUAGGUCUAAUUUUCGAGGCUAGAGCAUAUCUUGGUUGUGUAUUACAAUUAUACACUUAAGCCUUUACUCUCAGUAUCUGGCUUUUGAUAUGAUGAUUCAAACUUUAAUUUUAGGGUUACCGUUUAUUUUUGAGUUUACAGGAUUACCAGCAGAGACAUUGAUCGACAGGUACGUGACAGUGGGUGCAUACAGUCUUCUGAGAUCAUGUACCAUCGAACCAGAGUGCAUCAUCGGGCAACAUUCAAUACUAAUGGAAGGUUCGCUGGUUGAGACCCGCUCAAUCCUGGAAGCUGGUUCGGUUGUGCCACCAGGAAGAAGAAUCCCAUCAGGUGAACUAUGGGGAGGCAAUCCAGCAAGGUUUAUUAGAACGCUAACUAACGAAGAAACCUUAGAGAUCCCGAAACUCGCUGUAGCUAUCAACCAUUUAAGCGGAGAUUACUUCUCUGAGUUCUUGCCUUACUCCACUGUCUACUUAGAGGUAGAGAAGUUCAAAAAGUCACUUGGAAUCACUGUUUAGAGUCUCCUAGAAGCUUCUAUUAUUGGUUUCGUGUGCUUGCCUGUUGUAUGAGACCUCUCUGCAUAUUGCAAUAAGUAGCUGAAGAGCAUUAAAACAUUCGAAUGUUUGCCUUUUUUUUUCUUUUUUUUUUUUUGGUUUCUUUGUUAAAUUAAGAUUUAAAACUGAUUUUGGCUGGAUAAAUAUCUUAAUGAUAAUGGCGAUGAGUUCUUGUUUUGUUGUUUGUGGACAAGCAAAGAUAUGCUCAAGUACGUAACCAAAAUAAAAUAAACAAAACAAUAAAGCAUCAGAGUGGAACGAAGAAAGCAAUACCAGAGUGAAGUGAACCAUCGUUUAGAAUUCUAUGGAAAUUUUCUAUUCAUGUUCCAAAUCUUAUGAAUGUCACAUCCAAUAAAAAAUGUUUUUUAAUAGAAUCCAUCGAGAUUGGGCUAGUUUAGUGAUGUUUCUAGACAGAUUCGUGUAAUCUUCGAAGUGUUGAGUAGCGACUAGUGAGCGAUAUAUGUAUAUAUUUAUACCGGAUUUUGUUUAUUGAUUUACUAUAAGAUCCUAUACUCCGGUCCUCUUAUCUGUUUUCUAUUGUUUAUACUGGUCGUAAAUGAUUGAUUUGUAAUGGAAACGACAUCAUUGACAAAACAAAAUAAAAGAAGAAACCCACAAAAACUGCGAUAUGAA